UACGAACCGUGCGAACGUUAUUCGGAAUCACUGGGCUUAAAGCGCGUGUAGGCGGGAGGGCACGUCCGUUGCUGAAAUCCCCCGGCUCAACCGGGGAACGGGCGCGGAUACGACUCUCCUUGAGGGGCGUAGGGGGACCUGGAACUUCCGGUGGAGCGGUGAAAUGCGUUGAGAUCGGAAGGAACGCCCGUGGCGAAAGCGAGGUCCUGGACGCCUACUGACGCUGAGACGCGAAAGCCAGGGGAGCGAACGGG
rnacentral:rRNA from 1 species